UGGUGGGUAGUUUGACUGGGGCGGUCUCCUCCUAAAGAGUAACGGAGGAGCACGAAGGUUGGCUAAUCCUGGUCGGACAUCAGGAGGUUAGUGCAAUGGCAUAAGCCAGCUUGACUGCGAGCGUGACGGCGCGAGCAGGUGCGAAAGCAGGUCAUAGUGAUCCGGUGGUUCUGAAUGGAAGGGCCAUCGCUCAACGGAUAAAAGGUACUCCGGGGAUAACAGGCUGAUACCGCCCAAGAGUUCAUAUCGACGGCGGUGUUUGGCACCUCGAUGUCGGCUCAUCACAUCCUGGGGCUGAAGUAGGUCCCAAGGGUAUGGCUGUUCGCCAUUUAAAGUGGUACGCGAGCUGGGUUUAGAACGUCGUGAGACAGUUCGGUCCCUAUCUGCCGUGGGCGCUGGAAGAUUGAGGGGGGCUGCUCCUAGUACGAGAGGACCGGAGUGGACGCAUCACUGGUGUUCGGGUUGUCAUGCCAAUGGCACUGCCCGGUAGCUACAUGCGGAAGAGAUAAGUGCUGAAAGCAUCUAAGCACGAAACUUGCC
rnacentral:rRNA from 2 species